rnacentral:rRNA from 1 species
GGGAAUCUUCCGCAAUGGGCGAAAGCCUGAUGGAGCAACGCCGCGUGAGUGAAGAAGGCCUUCGGGUUGUAAAGCUCUGUCCUUGGGGAAGAACCGUAGUGAUUGCAAAUGCUCACUACCUGACGGUACCCAUGGAGGAAGCACUGGCUAACUACGUGCCAGCAGCCGCGGUAAUACGUAGAGUGCAAGCGUUGUCCGGAAUCAUUGGGCGUAAAGGGUACGCAGGCGGAUAUGCAAGUCAAAUGUGAAAACUACCGGCUUAACUGGUAGACUGCGUUUGAAACUGUAUAUCUUGAGUGCAGCAGAGGAGAGCGGAAUUUCUAGUGUAGUGGUGGAAUACGUAGAUAUUAGAAAGAACACCAGUGGCGAAGGCGGCUCUCUGGGCUGACACUGACGCUCAGGUACGAAAGCUGGAGGAGCGAAAGGGAUUAGAUACCCCUGUAGUC